UAGCUUUAUUCCGCCUAUAUACCACCGUCGCCAGCUUACCCUGUGAAGGACUAAUAGUAAGCACAAUCGGCACAGCCCAGAACGUCAGGUCGAGGUGUAGUGAAUGGGAGGGGAAGAAAUGGGCUACAUUCGCUGUCCGCCAGCGAACACGAACGCUGCAUUGAAACAUGCAGCUGAAGGAGGAUUUAGCAGUAAGCAGAAAGCAGAGUGUUCCGCUGAAGCCGGCUCUUAAGCGCGCACACACCGCCCGUCACCCUCCCCAAGCAACUGGACCUAAAUUUUUCUUUAAACCCUAACAAUCGCAAAGGAGAGGAAAGUCGUAACAUGGUAAGCGUACCGGAAGGUGCGCUUGGUUAAAC
rnacentral:rRNA from 1 species